rnacentral:lncRNA from 1 species
GAACAUUCCAGGCUCUGUGAACUAAGUGACUGAAGCUGAUUGACACAGGUCAAGGGGACUUCAAGGAAGAAAGCCAGCCUUAGACUGACAUCAGAGAACCAAACUCCGGUGUCUAAGCUCAAGUAAUACAAGUAAUUGGGAAGACACUGGCUCAGAGCCUGUCUCUGGUGACCACUGAAUUGUCCAGCACCUGAGGUCCCUGGAGCCCACGGACUGAGCCCAUCUGGGCUAAAAGAGGUCCCAUACAUCCUUCUCAAAGGCCUAUAUAAAUGCCAAGCAGAGUUAUAGCAGGAGGUUAGAAUCCUGAGAACUGUUUGGAAUAAGGAAUCCAAAUAUUGUCUUCCAGCUUCACCUUGUCACGACAGUCCUCGCCAGGGACAGCUGAGCCUUGCGUGGAUGAAACAGUCCCAACGAACACUUUAAAAAGACAAAUGUUCCCGACAGCACUGGUUGAAUUCAAAACUCGGCAGAUCCAUGUUCUUAUCCUUAGACAAGAGAGGGGCCAUAACAAGAUGGAAUGACGGAACAGACGUGAGAGAUGAUGGUACAGUGACUCGGGUAACCCCAGAAAAGGGACAGCUCUUCUACAGCUCAGUGGGGACAGGGACAAAAAGAAACAAUUUCAUUUCAGUCCACCCAGAGGGUCUGCACUUCUCGGAGCCAGAAGGUGGAGAAGAGUAGGGAUGGAGGAAGUUCGAAGUUUUAGGAGUCUGCUCUUGGGUCCCUAGGCAUGAGGACAAGCUUUUCCUGUACUCAAUGCUCAUCUCUCAGUUGUGCCCACAUUGGUACACAUUACUUGCUUUCAACUGCUGCUGCUGCUGUUUCCUAAUUCAAUAAAGAUAUGGCUGGCUCAGCA